rnacentral:rRNA from 1 species
GUGUCAGCCGCCGCGGUAAUACGUAGGUGGCAAGCGUUGUCCGGAAUUAUUGGGCGUAAAGCGCGCGCAGGCGGUUUCUUAAGUCUGAUGUGAAAGCCCCCGGCUCAACCGGGGAGGGUCAUUGGAAACUGGGGAACUUGAGUGCAGAAGAGGAGAGUGGAAUUCCACGUGUAGCGGUGAAAUGCGUAGAGAUGUGGAGGAACACCAGUGGCGAAGGCGACUCUCUGGUCUGUAACUGACGCUGAGGCGCGAAAGCGUGGGGAGCGAACAGGAUUAGAUACCCUGGUAGUCCACGCCGUAAACGAUGAGUGCUAAGUGUUAGAGGGUUUCCGCCCUUUAGUGCUGCAGCAAACGCAUUAAGCACUCCGCCUGGGGAGUACGGUCGCAAGACUGAAACUUAAAGGAAUUGACGGGG